rnacentral:rRNA from 1 species
UACGAAGGGGGCGAGCGUUGUUCGGAUUUACUGGGCGUAAAGGGCGCGUAGGCGGCUAUCCAAGUCAGGCGUGAAAGCCCCGGGCUUAACCUGGGAGGUGCGUCUGGGACUGGGUGGCUAGAGUUCGGGAGAGGAGAGUGGAAUUCCCAGUGUAGAGGUGAAAUUCGUAGAUAUUGGGAAGAACACCGGUGGCGAAGGCGGCUCUCUGGACCGAGACUGACGCUGAGGCGCGAAAGCCAGGGGAGCAAACGGG